rnacentral:rRNA from 1 species
GACAUAGGUGGCGAGCGUUAUUCGGAAUUACUAGGCGUAAAGCGAGUGUAGGCGGGCGCUUAAGUCCGUUGUGAAAUCUCCCGGCUUAACUGGGAGGGGUCAAUGGAUACUGGGUGUCUUGAGUGAGGUAGGGGGCAGUGGAAUUCCAGGUGUAGCGGUGAAAUGCGUAGAUAUCUGGAGGAACACCGGUGGCGAAGGCGCUCUGCUAGGCCGCAACUGACACUGAGGGACGAAAGCUAGGGGAGCGAAUGGG